rnacentral:rRNA from 1 species
AUGAACGCUGGCGGCGUGCUUAACACAUGCCAGUCGCACGAAGCACUUUAUUUGAUUUCCUUCGGGACUGAUUAUUUUGUGACUGAGUGGUGGACGGGUGAGUAACGCGUGGGUAACCUGCCUUGUACAGGGGGAUAACAGUUGGAAACGGCUGCUAAUACCGCAUAAGCGCACGGCAUCGCAUGAUGCAGUGUGAAAAACUCCGGUGGUAUAAGAUGGACCCGCGUUGGAUUAGCUAGUUGGUGAGGUAACGGCCCACCAAGGCGACGAUCCAUAGCCGACCUGAGAGGGUGACCGGCCACAUUGGGACUGAGACACGGCCCAAACUCCUACGGGAGGCAGCAGUGGGGAAUAUUGCACAAUGGGCGAAAGCCUGAUGCAGCGACGCCGCGUGAGCGAAGAAGUAUUUCGGUAUGUAAAGCUCUAUCAGCAGGGAAGAUAAUGACGGUACCUGACUAAGAAGCACCGGCUAAAUACGUG